rfam:Oryza sativa Japonica Group DNA, chromosome 4, cultivar: Nipponbare, complete sequence.
ACCGGAUGAGACACUUCAUGGUACAACGAAUCUGGGCAGGAAGUAUGUCCGGAUUCGUUGUACUAUGAAGUGUCUCGUUCGGU